UAUUUUUAAACGCUAUUAUAUAUUGUAAUAUUAAAAUUUUUUGUCACGUUUUUUCUAAAACGCUUAUUAAUAGCAGACCGCUAAUUUAAAACGCUAUGAUAUGGUUAGGCGGUAAUUAAGAAACCCGCGAUACUUAAAAAUUUCAUUUGGCUCCAAAAAUUUUCUAAGUGUCGAAAGAAAAAAGAAAGAAGAAAAUAGAGAAAAUAAAUUCUUUAGAUCUGAAACUCGAUAUGAAACUUUUGGCUAUCUUUUGUUCAAAGAGAAAAAGAAAAAAAAAAACUUUGGCUAUCUCCUCUCUCUUCUUUCUCUCUGAAACGCAGCCCCUUUCUCUCUGUCUCUCACCCAGCCGCUCAAUCUCUGUCUCGCGUCUCGCUGUGUCGAUCCUCCAGCUCUGUCUCGUUUCCUCCUCUUAUACUUUCACAUCUUCCAUCGUUGUAUCGAUUUCGUUCCCUCACUCUAAAUCCUCAAUCUCUGUCUUGAUAUAUCAAUCUCAGUCUCGUUCCUCUAUCAAUCUCUUUAUUUUUACCUUUCAAUCUCUGUGUUGUUCUUUGGUCUAUGUCUCGUUCUCCCACUCUCAAUCUCGUUCCCUCUUCUUAAUCGUCCUCAUCUUCAUCGGUGUAAAUCAAAUUGUUGUUGUCGAAUUUGACAUAUAAGGAAGAGGCAGGGAACAUCCACUCAAAGUUGAUUUUCGCACAAAGGAGAACUAUCAGAUGCUUUUAUUUCCAAUUGAAAUAGAGCCAAGUAAAUAUUGGCUUAAUAGAACUAGUCACGAGCUGCAAAACUACUCCUUGGAGUGGUGUUCUGUUGAAGCCAUAGCCAGCGACGGUAUGACACCAUUGCACCUUACUGUAUGGUACUCAAUUACUUCGAAAGGAGAUCAAAAAUAUGUUGCCUUUAAAAAAAAAAAAUAAAAAAAAAAUAUGUUGCCUUUAAGCAGGUUGUAGAGCAACAAUUAUGGGAAGGAAGAAAAAACCAAUCAACUUAUUCCAUCCUCUUCUCGCCUAACUCUACUCUCUAUAAUCACAAUUGUAACAUGUCAAGUAUUAUGAGUCCCUAAAAAAUAGUGCUAAAAGUCUAACCUACCCGAGCCACUACAUUGUAUUCCUAUGUGAUCAUCAGAUUUUUGGGGGAAUAAAUUAUAGUUUGCAUGUGUAUAUUGAUUGGAGAUUCUUGAGAUCGAUAAUCAGUAAAAUAAGCUUUAGUAUAUAGUUUUCAUUGUGUAAAUCUCUGUCACAUGUACUCUUAUCAUCUGUAUAAAUAAAAUAUUUCCAACA